rnacentral:lncRNA from 1 species
GCUGGGCGGGCUGAUGUGCAUCUAAAAAUAAACAUGGUCUGCAUGGGUUCCUACGAUCUCUGUCCUGCAUAGUGGAUUAUAUUUCAAAGGGAUUUUUUUAAAUCGUUUUCAAGAAAGUGAGCCUAGGUAAACCUGGCGACUAACUAUACUGUAGCAGUUGCUGAUAUUCAUUCCUAUGGAAAAAGGACAGCUUCUUUGGCCCGAAAUUUCAAAACAAGGUUAAAGCCAUCAGAAGCAGGUUGAGGGAGUUCCCGUCGUGGUGCAGCAGAAUGACUCCAACUAGGAACCAUGAGGUUGCAGAUUCAGUUAAAUCUGAGAAGAUCUGAGAAGGUGAUAGCGAACCUGCAUCUCUAACAAGCUGCCCAAUGAUGCCUGAUGCACCUGGACCCCUCGUACCUUUUAGGCUGUAAGCCAUGGGGUGCAAUGGAGAUAUUUCAGGAUCAGACAUGAUUAGAAUUGCAUUUUCCAAAGAACCAUGUAGCAGGGUGUGGAGGGCGGGAUGGAAGGAGACAGGGCUGGGGUAUGAUACAGAAAUGGCAAGAAAUUUUGAGCAUCUGAACUAAAUAAGUUAGGAAAGAACAGUCAACACGCCAAGAAACAGGUGCAAAUUGACUGGUAUGGAGUUGCUCUAAAACAUUUCUCCCAGAGGAAAGGUCGCUUGUGAGGUCAAAAGUGAAACAAUAAAUCCUAAGAGGCUUUUUAAAAUCAGAGAAACAUGUAGCAUUAUUUGAAUCAGCCUAGACACCCCCCACAGCUCUGCAUCUCCUUGAACACUUCAUCUCGAGCCCCAGUAAUAACUGGAAAAAAGCAAAAUCCCUGUAGGUAAUGACCACAAGAGAAUAAAGACAAUCAGCCAUCUCCAUCCUCACUUGAAAGACCUUGUCACUACUUGCAUCUUGUUUCAGGACACUUCAGAGAGAAUGAUUAUUUCAUAACAAAUUCUGGAAAAUCACAAGGCGGUCCACCUGAACACAGGGAGCCUUCAAUGCUUUUGACUGACAGGAGCCGAAAUUAGAAACACCAAUGUAUAUUCCCUGUUAGAAAAUCCUUUAACUGAAAGACUCAGAAAAAAAAAAAAAAAUCAAGACCCGUGGCUACAUCUACCUUGUUGAAAAAGCAAAGACAGUCCCCUUUUUUCUCUUAGAAGCCCCCGAAUGCAGCUUCUGAUGGGAUCUGUCUUCCCAAGCAAAAAACAAUCAGCCUCAGGUUCCCUGUCCUAGGCUGCUUGGCAUUCUUUCUCCAAAGAGGUACAAAUCUUUCUCCAAAGGUGACCCAAAGUCCACCUCCCCUCUCACUGUGUUUCUUCACGGUCCUGUAAACGAGUGCAUGUCCACCAGACACGCAGGUGAAAAGCAUGCAGCCAACUAGAAAAAACCAUAUGGACACACGCGUCUGCUUCAACAAAUGAACCAAAGAGAAAAGGGCAGCAGACCUACCUUUCUCUUCGGUGCGGUGCAGGCUCCUGAAAUUUAACCCUGGACCGAAAAGCUUCCCAGCAGGCAGU